rnacentral:rRNA from 1 species
AUGGAGCCGUGCACGCAUGGGUCGCUGAAGAUCCCUUGCUCAGUGAAGGCUGGGUCGCAGCCAGAUUGCUGGUUAUCGCCCUGGACCUCCUCUGUGUUAGGCUACCACCAGCACCUCGACCUACCCCUACCCGACAGGUCCAAAAGGAGGUGCAAAGCAGACUAUGGUCAAGUGAUGCCAUUUCGUGCUUCUGCCAACUACCUGAAGCUAUCAGGUAUUGAGACUGGCCCUAUGCGUAACGCCACCUACAGAAAGACUGAGCCUAUAUUUUCCUCAUCCGUGAGUGUUCCUGAGAUCUGUUGA